GAAGCCCCAGUAAACGGCGGCCGUAACUAUAACGGUCCUAAGGUAGCGAAAUUCCUUGUCGGGUAAGUUCCGACCUGCACGAAUGGCAUAAUGAUGGCCAGGCUGUCUCCACCCGAGACUCAGUGAAAUUGAAAUCGCCGUGAAGAUGCGGUGUACCCGCGGCUAGACGGAAAGACCCCGUGAACCUUUACUAUAGCUUGACACUGAACAUUGAAUUUUGAUGUGUAGGAUAGGUGGGAGACUUAGAAGUAGUCACGCCAGUGAUUAUGGAGUCGUCCUUGAAAUACCACCCUUUAACGUUUGAUGUUCUAACGAAGAUUACGAAACGUGGUCUCGGACAGUGUCUGGUGGGUAGUUUGACUGGGGCGGUCUCCUCCCAAAGAGUAACGGAGGAGCACGAAGGUUUGCUAAUCACGGUCGGACAUCGUGAGGUUAGUGCAAUGGUAUAAGCAAGCUUAACUGCGAGACAGACAAGUCGAGCAGGUACGAAAGUAGGUCAUAGUGAUCCGGUGGUUCUGAAUGGAAGGGCCAUCGCUCAACGGAUAAAAGGUACUCCGGGGAUAACAGGCUGAUACCGCCCAAGAGUUCAUAUCGACGGCGGUGUUUGGCACCUCGAUGUCGGCUCAUCACAUCCUGGGGCUGAAGUAGGUCCCAAGGGUAUGGCUGUUCGCCAUUUAAAGUGGUACGCGAGCUGGGUUUAGAACGUCGUGAGACAGUUCGGUCCCUAUCUGCCGUGGGCGUUGGAGAAUUGAUUGGGGCUGCUCCUAGUACGAGAGGACCGGAGUGGACGCACCACUGGUGUUCCGGUUGUGUCGCCAGACGCAUUGCCGGGUAGCUAAGUGCGGAAGAGAUAAGUGCUGAAAGCAUCUAAGCACGAAACUUGCCAAGAGAUGAGUUCUCCCA
rnacentral:rRNA from 1 species